CUUAGUGGCGGACGGGUGAGUAACGCGUGGGUAACCUGCCUUAUACAGGGGGAUAACACUGAGAAAUUGGUACUAAUACCCCAUAAUAUCUCAUGCGGCAUCGCAUGGGGUUGAAAACUCCGGUGGUUGAUGAUGGGCAUGCGUUGUAUUAGCUGGUUGGUGAGGUAACGGCUCACCAAGGCGACGAUACAUAGGGGGACUGAGAGGUUAACCCCCCACAUUGGUACUGAGACACGGACCAAACUCCUACGGGAGGCAGCAG
rnacentral:rRNA from 1 species